GGUAGGAGCGGUAUUUAGCAGAAGGUGAAUUUAUUCGCUUAGGAAAGUCCGCCCACUAUGAAAGGUUACUCACGGAAGUGAGAGUCAGAAAUGGCUGUCCAUGGCUCAGAAACGACACGUCCAUACAUCGGGAUGAUAGUGGCGAAGUUGCUUGAGAAAGCAAUGAGUUAACCCCAUGACUAUGUUGUAUGGGAGCGAUGAAACGGCGAAUACUAACCAGUGCAAGUUGGUUCAACGCUUAGUAGAAUGCUAAAACAAACCAUCGCAAUUACAUUGUUAAUUGUUUGGGUUUGACAAAAGGCGGCUUAUUCCGCCCUACC
rnacentral:RNase_P_RNA from 1 species